rnacentral:rRNA from 1 species
GAAUCUUGCACAAUGGAGGAAACUCUGAUGCAGCGACGCCGCGUGAGCGAAGAAGCCUUUCGGGGUGUAAAGCUCUUACGCCAGGGACGAUAAUGACGGUACCUGGAGAAGCAGCUGCGGCUAACUACGUGCCAGCAGCCGCGGUAAUACGUAGGCAGCAAGCGUUGUUCGGAAUUACUGGGCGUAAAGGGUGCGUAGGCGGCGCUCUAAGUUUGGUGUGAAAUCUACCGGCUUAACUGGGGGGGUGCACUGAAAACUGGGGCGCUCGAGUAGGGGAGAGGAAAGCGGAAUUCCUGGUGUAGCGGUGAAAUGCGUAGAGGUCAGGAGGAACACCUGCGGUGCAGACGGCUUUCUGGACCAUCACUGACGCUGAGGCACGAAAGCGUGGGUAGCAAACA